AUUGAACGCUGGCGGAAUGCUUUACACAUGCAAGUCGAACGGCAGUACGGACUUCGGUCUGGUGGCGAGUGGCGAACGGGUGAGUAAUGUAUCGGAACGUGCCCAGUCGUGGGGGAUAACGUAGUGAAAAUUACGCUAAUACCGCAUACGAUCUAUGGAUGAAAGCGGGGGAUCGCAAGACCUCGCGCGAUUGGAGCGGCCGAUAUCAGAUUAGGUAGUUGGUGGGGUAAGGGCCCACCAAGCCAACGGUCUGUAGCUGGUCUGAGAGGACGACCAGCCACACUGGAACUGGGACACGGUCAAGACUCGUACGGGAGGCAGCAGUGGGGAAUUUUGGACAAUGGGCGAAAGCCUGAUCCAGCCAUUCCGCGUGCAGGAUGAAGGCCCUCGGGUUGUAAACUGCUUUUGUACAGAACGAAAAGGUUUCUACUAAUACUAGGAGCUCAUGACGGUACUGUAAGAAUAAGCACCGGCUAACUACGUGCCAGCCGCCGCAGUAA
rnacentral:rRNA from 1 species